rnacentral:rRNA from 1 species
GUGAGGAAUAUUGCGCAAUGGAGGCAACUCUGACGCAGCCAUGCCGCGUGCAGGCAGAAGGCGCUACGCGUUGUAAACUGCUUUUAACCGGGAAGAAACCCCAGGACGUGUCCUGGGUUGACGGUACCGGAGGAAUAAGCACCGGCUAACUUCGUGCCAGCAGCCGCGGUAAUACGAAGGGUGCCAGCGUUAUCCGGUUUCAUUGGGUUUAAAGGGUGCGUAGGCGGAGCGUUAAGUCAGUGGUUAAAUCCUGCAGCUUAACUGUAGACUUGCCAUUGAUACUGGCGCUCUUGGGUACGCUUGAAGUGGGCGGAAUGUGCCGUGUAGCGGUGAAAUGCUUAGAUAUGGCACAGAACACCAAUUGCGAAGGCAGCUCACUAAGGCGAUACUGACGCUGAGGCACGAAAGCGUGGGGAUCGAACAGGAUUAGAUACCCGGGUAGUCC